AACGAACGCUGGCGGCAUGCCUAACACAUGCAAGUCGAACGAGACCUUCGGGUCUAGUGGCGCACGGGUGCGUAACGCGUGGGAACCUGCCCUUAGGUUCGGAAUAACUCCCCGAAAGGGGUGCUAAUACCGGAUAAUGUCUUCGGACCAAAGAUUUAUCGCCCUUGGAUGGGCCCGCGUUGGAUUAGCUAGUUGGUAGGGUAAAAGCCUACCAAGGCGACGAUCCAUAGCUGGUUUGAGAGGAUGAUCAGCCACACUGGGACUGAGACACGGCCCAGACUCCUACGGGAGGCAGCAGUGGGGAAUGUAGGACCAUGGGCGAAAGCCUGAUCCAGCAAUGCCGCGUGAGUGAUGAAGGCCUUAGGGUUGUCAAGCUCUAUUACCCGGGAUGAUAAUGACAGUACCGGGAGAAUAAGCUCCGGCUAACUCCGUG
rnacentral:rRNA from 1 species